GCCUGGGUGGCUCAGUCGGCUAAGCGUCUGACUUCAGCUCAGGUCAUGAUCUCGCAGUUCGUGGGUUCGAACCCCGUGUCAGGCU
rnacentral:tRNA from 1 species